CACCCGAUGGCACAUGGUGUGCACCUGUUACAAAUAUUGGGAUUGUUCUAGAGUGUAAUCAGGAGACUAGUGUCCCCCGUUCGAUUCGGGGUCGGGUGA